AAGGCUUUAAGUUAAAUAAACUAAUAGCCUUCAAAGUUAUAAAUAAAGAAAUUACUCUUUAAGCCUUA
rnacentral:tRNA from 1 species